rnacentral:rRNA from 1 species
GAUGAACGCUGGCGGCGUGCCUAAUACAUGCAAGUCGAGCGAACAGACGAGGAGCUUGCUCCUCUGACGUUAGCGGCGGACGGGUGAGUAACACGUGGAUAACCUACCUAUAAGACUUGGAUAACUUCGGGAAACCGGAGCUAAUACCGGAUAAUAUAUUGAACCGCAUGGUUCAAUAGUUAAUGACGGUUUUUCUGUCACUUAUAGCUUGAUCCUCGACGCAUUAGCUAGUUGUUAAGGUAACGGCUUACCAAGGCGACGAUGCGUAGCCGAAAUGAGAGGGUGAUCGGACACACUGGAACUGAGACACGGACCAGACUACUACGGGAGGCAGCAGUAGGGAAUAUUCCGCAAUGGGCGAAAGCAGGACGGAGCAAAGCCGAGUGAGUGAGGAAGGUAUUCGGAUCGUAAAACUCUGUUAUUAGGGAAGAACAAAUGUGUAAGUAACUAUGCACGUAUUGACGGUACCUAAUAAGAAAGCAACGGCUAACUACGUG